UACGUAGGGUGCAAGCGUUAAUCGGAAUUACUGGGCGUAAAGCGUGCGCAGGCGGUUUUGUAAGCCAGGUGUGAAAUCCCCGGGCUUAACCUGGGAAUGGCAUUUGGGACUGCAAGGCUGGAGGGCGGCAGAGGAGACUGGAAUUCCCGGUGUAGCAGUGAAAUGCGUAGAUAUCAGGAGGAACACCGAUGGCGAAGGCAGGUCUCUGGGCUGACACUGACGCUCAUGCACGAAAGCGUGGGGAGCAAACAGG
rnacentral:rRNA from 1 species